GCAUUUAUUAGAUAAAAACCAAUGCAUGCUUUUAUAGUAUGAAUGUUGGUGAUUUACAAUAACUUAGCAAAUCGCAUAGUGUAAACAGGCGAUAAAUCAUUCAAGUUUCUGACCUAUCAGCUUUCGACGGUAUGGUAUUGGCUUACCGUGGCAGUGACGGUUAACGGGGGAUUAGGGUUCGAUUCCGGAGAGGGAGCCUGAGAAACGGCUACCACAUCUAAGGAAGGCAGCAGGCGCGCAAAUUACCCAAUUCUAACAGCAUAAGAGAGGUAGUGACAAGAAAUAACAGUACAAGGCAGUUAAAAUGCUUUGUAAUUGGAAUGAUAGAAAUUUAAACACUUUUUAGAGUAUCAAUUGGAGGGCAAGUCUGGUGCCAGCAGCCGCGGUAAUUCCAGCUCCAAUAGCGUAUAUUAAAAUUGUUGCAGUUAAAAAGCUCGUAGUUGAAUUUCUGUUAAAAAUAACCGGUCUGCUUUUAAUAAAAGUAGUAUCUUGGUGUGUUUUUAGCAAUAAUGUCCUUUGAAAUGUUUUUUACUUUAUUGUAAUAAAUUAUAUUCAGGAUUUUUACUUUGAGAAAAUUAGAGUGUUUCUAGCAGGCUAAUGCUUUGAAUACUGCAGCAUGGA
rnacentral:rRNA from 1 species